rnacentral:lncRNA from 1 species
UUUUAAAAGGCAUAACAUGAAAGAUAGAUUGCACUCAACAUAAUCAUUCACAACAACAUAUCAUAAUUAUCAUACCCAAAUCACCAUCAACACCAUACAGAAUAACAUCUCAAUUAUCAUCAUCAUUAUACACAACCAAUAUUAAUGCAACACUUAUGAAAUAGACUCAACACUGACUCGACAUGCAUCUGGUACCAAAUAUGAACACUCGGGUUCCUUUCAC